UUCGCCCUUAGAGUUUGAUCCUGGCUCAGGACGAACGCUGGCGGCGCGCCUAACACAUGCAAGUCGAACGGAAUCAAGAGGAGCUUGCUUUUCUUGAUUUAGUGGCGAACGGGUGAGUAACGCGUGAGUAACCUGCCCUGGAGUGGGGGACAACAGUUGGAAACGACUGCUAAUACCGCAUAAGCCCACGGUACCGCAUGGUACUGAGGGAAAAGGAUUUAUUCGCUUCAGGAUGGACUCGCGUCCAAUUAGCUAGUUGGUGAGGUAACGGCCCACCAAGGCGACGAUUGGUAGCCGGACUGAGAGGUUGAACGGCCACAUUGGGACUGAGACACGGCCCAGACUCCUACGGGAGGCAGCAGUGGGGGAUAUUGCACAAUGGGGGAAACCCUGAUGCAGCGACGCCGCGUGGAGGAAGAAGGUUUUCGGAUUGUAAACUCCUGUCGUUAGGGACGAUAAUGACGGUACCUAACAAGAAAGCACCGGCUAACUACGUGCCAGCAGCCGCGGUAAAACGUAGGGUGCAAGCGUUGUCCGGAAUUACUGGGUGUAAAGGGAGCGCAGGCGGACCGGCAAGUUGGAAGUGAAAUCCAUGGGCUCAACCCGUGAAUUGCUUUCAAAACUGCUGGCCUUGAGUAGUGCAGAGGUAGGUGGAAUUCCCGGUGUAGCGGUGGAAUGCGUAGAUAUCGGGAGGAACACCAGUGGCGAAGGCGACCUACUGGGCACCAACUGACGCUGAGGCUCGAAAGCAUGGGUAGCAAACAGGAUUAGAUACCCCUGGUAGUCCAUGCCCGUAAACGAUGAUUACUAGGUGUUGGAGGAUUGACCCCUUCAGUGCCGCAGUUAACACAAUAAGUAAUCCACCUGGGGAGUACGACCGCAAGGUUGAAACUCAAAGGAAUUGACGGGGGCCCGCACAAGCAGUGGAGUAUGUGGUUUAAUUCGAAGCAACGCGAAGAACCUUACCAGGUCUUGACAUCCGAUGCAUAGUGCAGAGAUGCAUGAAGUCCUUCGGGACAUCGAGACAGGUGGUGCAUGGUUGUCGUCAGCUCGUGUCGUGAGAUGUUGGGUUAAGUCCCGCAACGAGCGCAACCCUUAUUGCCAGUUACUACGUAAGAGGACUCUGGCGAGACUGCCGUUGACAAAACGGAGGAAGGUGGGGAUGACGUCAAAUCAUCAUGCCCUUUAUGACCUGGGCUACACACGUACUACAAUGGCGUUUAACAAAGAGAAGCAAGACCGCGAGGUGGAGCAAAACUCAGAAACAACGUCUCAGUUCAGAUUGCAGGCUGCAACUCGCCUGCAUGAAGUCGGAAUUGCUAGUAAUCGCGGAUCAGCAUGCCGCGGUGAAUACGUUCCCGGGCCUUGCACUCACCGCCCGUCA
rnacentral:rRNA from 1 species